rnacentral:misc_RNA from 1 species
GAUGAAGAACGCAGCGAAACGCGAUACGUAAUGUGAAUUGCAGAAUUCAGUGAAUCAUCGAAUCUUUGAACGCAUAUUGCGCUCUCUGGUAUUCCGGAGAGCAUGCUUGUUUGAGUAUCAGUAAACACCUCAACUUCCAUAUCUUUUUUGAAAUGGGAGUUGGACUUGAGUGAUCCCAACGCUUUUCCUCACCGAAAAGUGGCGGGUUACUUGAAAUGCAGGUGCAGCUGGACUUUUCUCUGAGCUAUAAGCAUAUCUAUUUAGUCUGCCUAAAAAACAGAUUAUUACCUUUGCUGCAGCUAACAUAAAGGAGAUUAGUUCUUGUGCUGACUGAUGCAGGAUUCACAAAGACGGCUUCGGCCGACUUUGUAAACUCGAUCUCAAAUCAAGUAAGACUACCCGCUGAACUUAAGCAUAUCAAUAAGCGGAGGA